CACUAGGUUUAACUGAUGUUUCAGGGCAGCACAGUGGAAGGUUGCAUGCCAUCCAAUCAAAUAUACAAGUUCAGAGAACAACUAAAGGAAGGUUCGAUCUACAGAGUUGAGUCUUUUAUUGUUUCAGCGACGCUGAAAAAAUACAUGACACCACAUCAUCCUUAUCGGAUCGAUAUUGGUCAACGCACAAAGGUCAUCGAAGCUAUUCCAGAGCCUUAAAACUUUCCUUUGUUGAAAUCAUUUCAUGUUCUCCAGUCACGCAGAGAGAAUAACACCGUUCUAUCAGAUGUGGCUGGACUGGUGGUAAUUGUUAAUGGAUGUCAUUUCAAAGACGAGUCGAGAGACACGGAGGCAUAUUCACUUAAAAGAUGUUUGGUAUAUGUAACAAUGCUUCAGCAGGCCGUUAUGAACCUGCAUGCGUACUGAUAGUGUACAUCUUUGUUAAGCGGUAAACACAAGCAUGUUCCCUCUAGGUAUUGCAAGGUAUUAGUGAUGUUCUACAUAGAGGGCUACAGAGUAUGGUUUGGGUUGUUGCUGCAAAUCGCUAUCUGAAAAGAUACUUUGUUAUUCCUAA